UUUGGGAUAACCCUCGGAAACGGGGGCUAAUACCGGAUAUGACCUUGCCCUGCAUGGGGUUUGGUGGAAAGUUUUUCGGCCUGGGAUGGGCUCGCGGCCUAUCAGCUUGUUGGUGGGGUGAUGGCCUACCAAGGCGACGACGGGUAGCCGGCCUGAGAGGGCGACCGGCCACACUGGGACUGAGACACGGCCCAGACUCCUACGGGAGGCAGCAGUGGGGAAUAUUGCACAAUGGGCGGAAGCCUGAUGCAGCGACGCCGCGUGAGGGAUGACGGCCUUCGGGUUGUAAACCUCUUUCAGCAGGGACGAAGCGCAAGUGACGGUACCUGCAGAAGAAGCACCGGCCAACUACGUGCCAGCAGCCGCGGUAAGACGUAGGGUGCGAGCGUUGUCCGGAUUUAUUGGGCGUAAAGAGCUCGUAGGCGGCUUGUCGCGUCGACCGUGAAAACUUGGGGCUCAACCCCAAGCCUGCGGUCGAUACGGGCAGGCUAGAGUUCGGUAGGGGAGACUGGAAUUCCUGGUGUAGCGGUGAAAUGCGCAGAUAUCAGGAGGAACACCGGUGGCGAAGGCGGGUCUCUGGGCCGAUACUGACGCUGAGGAGCGAAAGCGUGGGGAGCGAACAGGAUUAGAUACCCUGGUAGUCCACGCUGUAAACGUUGGGCGCUAGGUGUGGGGGGCCUCUCCGGUUCCCUGUGCCGCAGCUAACGCAUUAAGCGCCCCGCCUGGGGAGUACGGCCGCAAGGCUAAAAC
rnacentral:rRNA from 1 species